UUUCCGUAGGUGAACCUGCGGAAGGAUCAUUCAUAAUAAGUGUUUUAUGGCACUUUUUUAAAUCCAUAUCCACCUUGUGUUCAAUGUCAGGGUUGAUUUUUCUCUCGAGUAGAUCAGCCCCAAACAUCAACUAUAUCUCAACUCUUUGUCUGAAAAAUAUUAUGAAUAAAACAAUUCAAAAUACAACUUUCAACAACGGAUCUCUUGGCUCUC
rnacentral:misc_RNA from 1 species